UGUAUAUCUCAAAAUAGCUGUCAAUCAAAAUGGGAUUCAGCCUUUCAACUGAUCCUCCAAUCAUCAUGCGGAAGCUCAGCAUCCAGGCCCGCCAAGGCCCGCCCACAGCUCCAUUCAUCCCCA